GAUGAACGCUGGCGGCGUGCCUAAUACAUGCGAGUCGAGCGAACAGACGAGAAGCUUGCUUCUCUGACGUUAGCGGCGGACGGGUGAGUAACACGUGGAUAACCUACCUAUAAGACUGGGAUAACUUCGGGAAACCGGAGCUAAUACCGGAUAAUAUAUUGAACCGCAUGGUUCAAUAGUGAAAGACGGUCUUGCUGUCACUUAUAGAUGGAUCCGCGCCGCAUUAGCUAGUUGGUAAGGUAACGGCUUACCAAGGCAACGAUGCAUAGCCGACCUGAGAGGGUGAUCGGCCACACUGGAACUGAGACACGGUCCAGACUCCUACGGGAGGCAGCAGUAGGGAAUCUUCCGCAAUGGGCGAAAGCCUGACGGAGCAACGCCGCGUGAGUGAUGAAGGUCUUCGGAUCGUAAAACUCUGUUAUUAGGGAAGAACAAAUGUGUAAGUAACUAUGCACGUCUUGACGGUACCUAAUCAGAAAGCCACGGCUAACUACGUG
rnacentral:rRNA from 1 species